rnacentral:lncRNA from 1 species
CCCUGAAUAAGCAUCAAAUUAUAUCUUGGAUCGUUUUACAAUAAGAUUUUCAUUAAAACUUGAAUUUGCAAUUUCUCCUAAACUAAGAAACCCAAAACUCUAGCUGAAAAUGAAGCUUUAAAUAAACAUGUUUCAUAUACUGAAUAACAAACUAAAUUAAGCGCAUCUAAAAGUCUAGUUAAUAUACCAAUAGUAAUAGGCUUACGACAGACUUGUCGCUUAUGUCACUGAGCAUCUUUUGAACAAUAAAAGAAUGAGUGUUGUCCAAUAAACCAUUGAUCUUAUGAUUAAACCCAAUGCCUGAAAGGUACGCAUUCCCAGUGGAAUAAGAAUAUUCAUCCUUAAACAUGUCGACUACUAUUAACUAAAUGUGAAACGGGGCAUGGCCAUACGUGAUACAGGUUUAGUUGUUUAAAGUUUUGAAAUUAA